rfam:Triticum aestivum genome assembly, contig: Triticum_aestivum_CS42_TGACv1_scaffold_221375_3B
UUUGUACUCUUUCCGUCUGAAAAAGCUUGUCCCAAGCUUGUUCCUCAAAUGGAUGUAUCUAGCACUAACUUGGUGCUAGAUACAUCCAUUUAAGGGACAAGCUUUUUUGGACAGAGGGAGUACAUG